GUAGGUGAACCUGCGGAAGGAUAU
rnacentral:rRNA from 1 species